UACAGAGGGGGCCAGCGUUAUUCGGAAUUAUUGGGCGUAAAGGGCGCGUAGGCGGCCAUGCGUGUCUUCCGUGAAAUCCCUCGGCUUAACUGAGGACGUGCGGAAGAAACUGCAAGGCUCGAGUCCGGGAGAGGGGGGUGGAAUUCCCAGUGUAGCGGUGAAAUGCGUAGAUAUUGGGAGGAACACCAAUAGCGAAGGCAGCUCGCUGGGACGUUACUGACACUGAGGCGCGAAAGCGUGGGGAGCGAACAGG
rnacentral:rRNA from 1 species